UCUCGAAGUCAUACCCUCCACGCUUGC
rnacentral:piRNA from 1 species